CACUGGGAGACCAACGGUCGGGGUCUUUCUCCUGCUGCUCUACCUGGGGCUCCGGGCAGCUGAAGGGGAGAUUGGGUAGCCCCUGUCAGGUAUGUUUUUAUGUUAUGUUUUGUAUGCCUGCUGUUUAUUUGUUAAUAAAACUGUUUUGGUUCCCCUUCCACCUCCUCAUUCCUUUUGUCCUGAUAUCCUUGGAAAGAACUGCUGUAUUUGGCAACACGGGGUUACAUUUCACGGAUAGCACCUAAAGCCAAAAAUCACAUAUAGUCAAAACUUCAAUGGUUCAAGGGUGGGUGGGAUUGCCAAAGCUCCCGCGCCAAUGCCCAUCCCGUUUUCUUUUCUUUUUAAAAUUGCCAAGCACGUAAAUGCGUGUAAGUUGCAAGUUCCCUGUACACAGGAGUCCGCUCACACAAAACACAAUGCAGCCCAUGUUUCACUGUCCUUGUCCUCUGUUUGCACUGCUAUACAAGCCUUCCUAUCAAAACAGAAGGAUUUCAUAGCUGCUAUGAAAGCACAGCAAUAUUGCCAGGCAUUGUGCUCUGAUAGGGUAAUAAAACCUGUCAACCAUUCAGAAUUAAGGCGUUCAUAUACUGUAUGAUUACUGCGAAAUAAAAUCACAGCGAUGAUGCAAAUCAGAAGCCUGCCACCAAUCAAAAUGGAAAAUAUAAGUGAGAAAAAAUUGUCUAUUUAUGCAUCACUAGCUGUAUAGUAUCCCUGAGCUCCAGUUAUUAUUUGGUUUGUUAUCUGUAUUACAGUAGUGCCCAGAGGCCACACACAGUUGAUAUAACACAAAACAUAAUUGUUUUAGCUUGGAAUCAAUUAUUAAUCUUGACACCUGCAUUUUAGGUAAAUAACAAUUAGAACCUGAUGAGUUUUUUAAUUACUAUUUCAAACUCUACAUCAGCAGCAAAAUGAAAAAUAUUAAGAGAGACAAUGGUGAAAUUAACCAGCUACAAAGCUGUAAUAGUAAAAGGUAAAGGUAAAGAACCCCUGGACGGUUAAGUCCAGUCAAAGGCAACUAUGGGGUGUGGCACUCAUCUAGCUUUCGUGUUUGUUCGGAGACAGCUUUUCCGGGUCAUGUGUCCAGCACGACUAAACCGCUUCUGGUACAAUGUGCCAGAGCGCAUGAAAAUGCCGUUUACCUUCCUGCUGCAGCGGUACCUAUUUAUCUACUUGCACUGGUGUGCUUUUGAACUGCUAGGUUGGCAGGAGCUGGGACAGAACAAGAGGAGCUUACCCCGUCACGCAGAUUCGAACCGCCAACCUUCUGAUCGGCAAGCCCAAGAGACUCCGUGGUUUAGACCACAGCGUCCCUAAAAAUGAAAAAUAUUAAGAGAGGCAAUAGUGAAAUUAACCAGCUACAAAGCUAUAAUAGUAAUGCUAGCUACUUAAAGUGAAUGUGUGUGUGUUGGUUUGUUUGUUUUAAAAUACCCAACUUACACAGUCAUUAAGGAAUGAAGGCAUGCACAUUACGGUAAUUAGGUUGCAAUUUUUCUUUCUAGUUUAAUUGCAUAGUAAAAUGUGCUCACCGGUCUUACACUUUCAAAAUAACAAUCAAUACUGAAAGGACAUAUUCUCCGUGCUUUGGAAAUCUCACCUGUGUGUAGAGAGCCAUGAAAAUAAAGGUAGAAAUCUCAUCUCUUACAGAACCAAGCAAAAUUAUCCAAGAAUUGGUGUCCCUUCUCUAUGACCUGGAUCACACCAUGUGUGAAUGUAAAACUGUGGUUACAUCUCUUCUCUCUUGGUCCUCCUGCUACCAUGCUAUCUGGAGCUAAGCCAUCAUUUCUGGAGCUAAGCCAACAAACAAACAACCCAGUGACUAAGGUAAGACACUGAAAACAUUUAUAAAAUUAUGAAUGGCUUAAUGGAAGGAAAUACGCUCUGGCUCACAAUGCUAGAAACCGAGAAAUCUGAAGAAACUGAUAGGCAGUUUAAUUUCACAUUUCCUCCAAGGUGUCCAACCUGACUGUAUGCAACCUGACUGCGGCGGGAAGGUAAACGGUGUUUCCAUGCGCUCUGGCACAUUGCACCAGAAACGGUUUAGUGGUGCUGGACAUAGGACCUGGAAAAGCUGUUUCUGGACAAACAUGGACCACUUAUAAACGCCAUCUCCAACUCCUCGAAAGAUUCCAUCAUUGGUGUAAAAAAUUACACAUCACUUGGGAAGACUAAUGCCAGUGUACUGGAAGAAGCAAAGAUCACGAGUGUCAAUGCGAUGAUUCUUCAACAUAUGAACUUCAUUGGACUGGUCAUGUUGUGCAGAUGCCCGAUUCUCAUCUUCCAAAGCAACUACUCUAUUCCGAACUUAAAAAUGGAAAGCGUAAUGCUGGUGGUCAACAAAAAUGGUUUAAAGACUCUCUCAAGGCAAAUCUAAAAAAAAUAAAUGCAGUAUAAACACUGACAACUGGGAAACACUGGCCUGCGAGCGCUCCAGUUGGAGAACAGCCUAUACCAACGGUGUCAUGGCCUUUGAAGACUCUUGAACUCAGGACAAAAGGGAGAAACGUGCUAAGAGGAAGGCACGCUUGGCAAAUCCAUACCGUGAACUCCUGCCUGGAAACCAAUGUCCCCACUGUGGAAG